rnacentral:lncRNA from 1 species
UUUUUUUUUUUGUGAAACACAGAAGAGUAUCUGCUUAGCUUAUAACAUUACUGGAUCAGAAGAGUUGCUUUUUUUUGGUCAAAGGAUCAGAAGAGUUACAUUCUUUGAUUUUUUUUUCUUCUGAUUAAAAAAACUGAUGAACUCGAUGUAAAAAGUGUUUUCGGUUGUUAAAAUUUAUAUUUAACUAAUAUCUAUAUUUAUGUUUUAAACUCGAAAAGAGUUAUUAAUUCAUAAGUUAAAUCACAACUCAAUUGGUUGGUCGUUGGUAUUCUAUCAACUCAUUAAGAGUUAGUGCACAAAACUAAUCUACCCAAAUGAAUUUAAAAUGCACUUUUAACAUUCCAAAAACAAUAUUCAACGUCCAAGUCAAAGCAUGAAACAAUUACUCCUUUUAAAAUCCUAGUAAUCACAAUGUGACAUAUAAUACAUAAGUUAUUUGCCAAAUGGCGCCUCAAGUCUGGCUAUUCCAAAAGCCAAUAGUUUCAUAUGGUUUGGUAAUUGCAGCUCGCAAACGGCAAAAACAAUUACACGGAGAGGCUGAAGUUUGGAUUAUGAAGAUAAAAUCAACUAUUGUAACGUUAGAAGCAGCAAUCAAAGUCUCCUUGAUUCGAUUUAUGUGAUUGUGCCCGGUCCCAACGUUGACUUCUUAGACAUGAUUUUGAUCUACAUGUUCAACUUUUACUAAUUUACAAGUAAACAUAUUAGUAAUAUUAAAAAACAUAUUAAUAGUUUAAUAACUUACAUAUAAUAAUGCCUUGAGGGAAAUGUAAUGGGGGUGAAAAAUAGAGUACGAUGUGUUAAAUAUAACUGUUAAGAACACAGACACACGUGAAAAAUGAUAGGCACGAUCUGAAGACCAUUAAAACUCAUCUCUUUGUGCUAUAUCUCCAACUUUAAAAUUUUAAACCCUAGCCUCUCUCUCUUCCUAUGUACGCUUUUUCUCUCUCUAGGUCGGCUGAGGUUCACCUAAUUAAGAGACCAUACACAAACACCUUCUCUCAUCACUUUCUUGUGACGAAAUUUUCAAUGUGUUAUAUACAUGAAAUUAAUUUCUUGUUUCCUCAAAAGGGUACAUACAUAUGCUCAUGCCUCAUCAAUGGAGGUAAAUUUAGCUUUUCUUGUUUUAACAUUUCUAGAAAUGAUUCCUUUUCAAAAAACAAACAUUUCUAGAAAUGAUUGGUCUUUAUUUCUACAUCUAUUUAUAGGGACGCAUCAUUUUUUUAGGUAUUGAAUGUUUCCAGCGGUACACCUAUUCCCCACUGCGGGACUAAAAAGAUUGUCUCCAUUCAACUUGUUUUGCAGUUGUAAACAUUAUUUAUCAGAAAAAGAAAAUAAAAAAAAUAAAAAUAAAGUGCAGUAUAAGAAUAACAAAGGAACGCACCUAAAAGAAAGAAGAAGCCAAAAGGGUGUGUUCUCUUUUACUAUGCAAGAGAACUAAUUUUUUUUUGCUUCUUUUUUUUGUUUCUUUUCUUUGGUUGAUUAUUACCCAAACUUUUAAAUAUAUAUAGAUAUUAGAAUCUCAGUAACAAGUGUCAACACAUUAAAUUUCAUAUCCUAUUCAUAAUAUAUGCAUAUUUAAUUUUUAUUACGAGUAAUCAUUUCUGUUUAUUGUCGGUGAACAAAUCUCCUUAGUCCGUCAUAUAUCUCCAUGUUAUAAAAAAAAACAAAUGCAUAUUUAAUUAAAAAAUACUCUUAAAAGUGAAAAAGCAUUUUUAAUUUACUUUCAAAUAUUAAGUAAAUAGCUUUGUAUACAUUUAUUACUAAAUCUUUACAAUAUUUUGACAUAUUAAAUACUUACUUAAUUUUUUCUUCUAUAAAUAUAAAUAUAUCCACUCAAUUUCACCAAUACAUUUAUUUAUAUAUUUUAAGAUUUUAAAAAAAAAUAUUUUAAGCAAUAAAAAUAUAUAAUAUAAAUAUAUGGUAAGAUUUACCAAUACAUAUUUUGUUGAAAAUAGCUUUGUAAAAUACAAAUAUAUUAUAUGCAUUCUGCAACAUUGUUUAUUACACAUGUUACCAUUCACAUUUAUUUUUAAUUUUAUAUAUUUUGUAUAAGUAAUAUUAUAUACUAUGUUUAACAGAUGAUUAUUAUUUUAUAAUUUUGAAUUAAAAUUAUUUUAAUUUUUAAAAGAAAAUAUAUUUAAUUUAUAUUUUUACCAUUUAUGAAAAUAUCCUGAUAGUUUUCGAUUCGAUUCCGUCUUUUCUGUUCUAGAGAUAUAUGAUCCACUAGUAUAAUUAGUAGGAUCCAAACCUAGACCGAACUUCAUUUUUUAAUAAAAAACCGUAACUCGAUUUGUAUAGUGUACAAGAACCUCUCAUUGACUCGUGCAGUUAACGAGCUAAAGACUUCAAGUCCUACGACCAAACAUACGAGCUAAAGAUGUAUUCGAGAGGUAGCUGACUACGAAGAGAGGCAUAAAGAAUGGCCAUUUCUUGUCUUCUUUGCCGUUUGAUGUUGCGAUGAAGAAUUCUUCUCCUUCUUCGUUUCAUCUCUUUGUUGAGACAUACGACUCUGGCGCCUUGGCUUUUUUGAAUUAUUACAAGGAUCCAUGAGUUGAGAGGUUUAGCAAUAGCAGAUCUCAGUAGGAUUCGUGUUUUCUUUCACUCUUUUUUUUUAAUUAACUUAUCAGGUCUUAUAGUAAGUAGACUUGCCCUUAUGUAACUGGGCCUGUCUUCUUUAAUCGUAUUUCAUAGAUUAGAAAAAUAACAAAAAGAGUUGGAGUUGUUCUUUUCUCUAGUCGUAUAUUUUGGUUUGAUGUACUAUAUAUUUAUUAUUACAACUCCAAAAUGGAGCAAAGGCUACCCAUUACUUUAUUUUGGAAUUGAAUUUUUUUUUUAUUUAUAAAAUAGUCUUUUAAUUUUUUAAUGUUUAAUUUUUUAUUUAAAUAAUAUUUAAAAAUAAUACGAUAACAUGAAAAAUAAUAGGGUAUUCUGAAAAUAAUUAUUUAAUAGUUUUACAUAAAGAUGCAUAAACUAUUUUUUUAAAACAAACAUAAAUAAUAUAAAGGGGUUUUUGUAAAAUUGACUCAAAACAUGAAGUCAACCACAAAACUAACCUAUGUUUUUUUUUUUGGAUUUUUCUUUUGUCCCAUUCACCCCACAAGUUCACAUUAUUUACAAAAAUGCCAUUAGUUUUUUUUUUCUUUUCGAAAUUACAUUUUUACUCUCUCAACCUCUUCAUCUUCAUGUAUUUACAAGAUUGUCAUUGCCAUCAAUACAUCAACCACCAUAAACAACCAAUUUGAAGCUCUUAAUGCACCUCAAAUCGAUUUACACUUCUUCUUUCUCAAUUCUUAUCAACUAAAGACAACAUUUCUUUCACUUUCUCUCCAUAUUCAUCCAAAAAAAUCCAAAGAUUUUGAUUCUAAAUUUUUUAUGGUUCAUAGAGCCAUUGAAGCUUGUGAUUCUUGGUGGAUCACUUUUGUUUGAGAUUCUGAGUGCUUGGAAAAGACUUAAGUAUGCUAAACAAGUUAUCUCACUGGUUGAAACUAUGAAAUUGAGAUUUUUUCCAGUUCGUCCAAACGACUUACAGGUAAGUCUUCUGGCUGUAGACGACUUACCUGAAAGUCGUAUGUUCAAUACAGAGGUUAGUUUUGCAAUUGACUUUUAAUUUAUUUUUUCUAGACGACUUACAGGUUAGUCUUCCACCUUUGUUUGAUAAAAAAAAAUCGAGACGACUUACAUGUAAGUCAUCUAGGGAAAACGGGUUAGUUUUACAUUUGACCGGAAUGUGUAAGAAAUUUGAAUUUUCCUCGACGACUUACAAGUUAGUCGUCCAGUUGAAAAUUAAAAAAUUAAUAUAUUUUUUUCUAGACGACUCAUGCUAGUUUUGCAAUUGAAAUAUUAAACAAAAAAUAUUUUUUUUUCUAGACGACUUACACGGAAGUCGUCCGUCCGACGACUUACACGGAAGUCGUCCGUCCGACGACUUACACGGAAGUCGUCCAGGAUAUUAUUCCGAGAUUCUGGUCAAACCUUGCUUAUCUUGGACGACUUACAGGUUAGUCAUGUGGGAAAAAAACUCGAGACAAUUCAUCUAGAAAAUUUUUUUUUUGUUUAAUAAUUCAAUUGCAAAACUAACCUGAGACGACUUACAAGUUAGUCGUUUAGAAAAAAAAUAUUAUUUUUUUAAUUUUCUACUGGACGACUAACUUGUAAGUCGUCCAGGAAAAGUCAAAUUUCUGACACAUUCCGGUCAAAUGCAAAACUAACCCGUUUUCCCUAGACGACUUAUUUUUCUUAUAUCAAAAAAAGGUGGACGACUAACCUGUAAGUCAUAAUCUCUUAAGUAUUAUUGUUAUUCUUAAGUAUUAUUGUUAUAGACACCAAUGAUGAUUAUUGUUAUGAGUUGGAAGAAGGGUUAAAAUGUUUUUUAAAAUGUUGUAUCAAUAUGAGGCUACCAACAUUCUUGUUUAUUAAGAAGAGAAAAAGGCCAUUGGAGUUUAUUAUUGCAUAUGAGAGAUCCAAAGAUAAGAAAAAAACUAUUGAAGUAUAUUAUUUCAUUGAUUUGUAAAUGUGUAAACACAUUGUUAGCACAUAUAUUACAUCUUGGGAAACAUUAUUACUGAUUUUACAAAAAAUUCACAACUAAAAGAGUAGACAUGCAAUUCACAAAACAGACCACAACCCAAACUAUGAUAGAUCAUUUCUCUACAAAGACAAGCUUGGACUCCCCUUGAUAUGGAAGAAGGCUUCGCCAGAAGACUUCUAGGAAGUCCAGACGACUUCCUGGAAGUCGUCUAGCGCAUUAUAUUUUAGACGACUAACAAGUAAGUCAUCCCAGAUCUGAACAACCUGCAUAUCAAAUCCAGAUCUGAAAACCCUGCAUAUCAAAAAGCGUUCAAAUGGCUUAAAAACAAAGAAAAUGAGUGGAAGAUUAGAUAAAUAUACCUUUAUAGAACACACAAAAAUACAUAUCUAAAAUUAAUAGAUCUACCUUUAAAUGAGUGGAAGAUGAGAACCAUCUGAUUAAAAACCUGCAAAAAAAAGAUAGAUUAGUGGGAAAGACAUGAGACAAAACUGAAAAAUUCAUAUAAAGUUUGGUGUUUUCAAGUCAAAGAGAUUAGAGUGGGUUUGGAGAGUUUUAGUUUGGGAAAAAGAAAACUUUAUACAACCGAAAGUUACCAAAUAAAGAAAAAUCAGACAUAAAAAACUUACCAAAACGCUCAGAUCUGUUAUGAAAGGGAGAGACAUGGGAGAAGACUCUGUUAGCCAAGUUAUGAAGUUGUCUAGAAGACUUCCUGAAAGUCGUGUGGAAGACUUCCUGGAAGUCGUCUUGCACAUUAUAUUUUAGACGACUAACAGGUAAGUCGUCCCAGACGUCCUCCAGAUCUGAAAAACCAGCAUAUCCAAAUUUAGAUCUGAAAAGCCUGCAUAUCCAAAAACGUUCAAAUGACUUAAAACAGAGAAAAUGAGUGGAAUAUUAGAUAAAUCUAUUUUUAUAUAACACACAAAAAUACAUAUCUAAAAAUGAUAGAUCUACCUUUAAAUGAGUGGAAGAUGAGAACCAUGUGAUGAAAAACCUUCAAAAACAAGAUAAAUUAGUGAGAAAGACAUGAGACAAAGGGGGUGAUUGGUUAGGCUUUAGCAAGUGACUUUAGCUUUAAUUUUUAUCUACAGCCUUAAAACGCACCAAUCAUACUCUAUAUUAGUUUUUAAAGUUACAACCAAAAAAAUUAAAGUUACAGCCAAAAAACAAAAAAAAAACAUCUGUAAAAGUCUUAUUUUCUAAAGCCUCAUCUUUUUGGCCGAAGGAAACUUUAAAACUACAUCUUUUAAAACUAAAUCAAAAAAUCCUACAGACUAAAUUGUAAAAUAAAUUUUCUAUAGUUACAGCCUAACCAAUCACCCCCAAAAACAAUAAAUUGAUAUAAAGCUUAGUGUUUAUAAGUUCAAAGAAAUUAGAGAGAGGUUGAAGAGUCUUAGAAUGAUGAACAUAACAUUUUGUUGCAACCAUUUGAGAGAAUGAGAGAGAAUGUAUAAAUUUUUCUUUAUAUAGAGAGACAAAAAAUCCAAUUAGGUUAAAUAUUUUUGAUUCAGACGACUUCCUAGACGACUUACUUGUAAGUCACCCAGAAAACUUUAAUAUUUUUAGCGGGAAACUAAAAUAGAAGACUUCCUAGACGACUUACAAGUAAGUCGUCUGGUUUAAAUUAUUUAAGCGGGAAAAUAAUUUUUUUAAACAUUUUAGAGGAGAAUAUUUGGAAGACUUACAUGUAAGUCGUCUUGUUUAAAUUAUUCAUCAGACGACUUACAAGUUAGUCGUCUAGACCCUAAACAUAUUAGCAAGUGACUUUAGCUUUAAUUUUUAUCUACAGCCUUAAAACGCACCAAUCAUACUCUAUAUUAGUUUUUAAAGUUACAACCAAAAAAAUUAAAGUUACAGCCAAAAAACAAAAAAAAAACAUCUGUAAAAGUCUUAUUUUCUAAAGCCUCAUCUUUUUGGCCGAAGGAAACUUUAAAACUACAUCUUUUAAAACUAAAUCAAAAAAUCCUACAGACUAAAUUGUAAAAUAAAUUUUCUAUAGUUACAGCCUAACCAAUCACCCCCAAAAACAAUAAAUUGAUAUAAAGCUUAGUGUUUAUAAGUUCAAAGAAAUUAGAGAGAGGUUGAAGAGUCUUAGAAUGAUGAACAUAACAUUUUGUUGCAACCAUUUGAGAGAAUGAGAGAGAAUGUAUAAAUUUUUCUUUAUAUAGAGAGACAAAAAAUCCAAUUAGGUUAAAUAUUUUUGAUUCAGACGACUUCCUAGACGACUUACUUGUAAGUCACCCAGAAAACUUUAAUAUUUUUAGCGGGAAACUAAAAUAGAAGACUUCCUAGACGACUUACAAGUAAGUCGUCUGGUUUAAAUUAUUUAAGCGGGAAAAUAAUUUUUUUAAACAUUUUAGAGGAGAAUAUUUGGAAGACUUACAUGUAAGUCGUCUUGUUUAAAUUAUUCAUCAGACGACUUACAAGUUAGUCGUCUAGACCCUAAACAUAAACCCUAAACUUAAUUAACUAACUAAACACUUCAUAAAAUCAAAUUAAAUUUCAAAAGUGUUUACUAUACACAAAAAUAAACACUUAUAGGUAAAAAUUUAAUUUUUCAAAAAAACAUUCAAGCUUUCCAAAAUCUAACCCUAAAAAUACAUACAAUACUAUAACAUAUGUUGUCAAACCAUAAAACCAAAGAAUAUCAUGAUUAACUACUUUCACUCAUCUAUGCUGAAAACUAUUCAAUUUUCUCAUAUCUUAAUUUACAUUACUUAAAACUGUUUAUAAUUACAUGAUUUUAAUUUUUCAUUUGUCAAAAUAUUUUUUAAAAAUUUUUAAAAUUAUUUUUAAGAUCAACUACACCAGACGACUUAUUUUUAAGAUGCUAGACGACUUCCAGCAUCUCAGACGACUUACUAGGGCUAUAUUCGUAAAAAUGACUUAUGUUUUUUUUUUUUUUGGUCACAAGAGACUGGCUGUAAUUUCACAAGAUUUUUAGGUUAGUUUUGCUUUUGAUUCAAAUUUGUGUAUACUUUUGCAAUCAAAGUCAAGGUUUGAGUCAUAUUUGGCAAAUCCCCCUAAUAUAAAUGAAGAUACCAUAAAAUAAAUGAUUUAAUAAUCCAAAUCUGCUAAGAUCGGUGAAAUAUUGCCCAAACGAAGAAGAUUUAGAAGGAGCUUGUUGAUCUUGUGAUUCAGGAUUUCGCUUUGCUAAUAUUUGUAAUUGUUGAGCUUGAUUCAACAUUUUAUUUUUUAGAAUGACUAUUUCAAUAUAGUCUGAUUUCAAAAAUUUCUUGCUCGAUUUAUGAAUAUCAAAAAUAAAGAAACUCAUUUUUUCAUUAUCAAAUGCAUUAGUUGAUCAUUCGUGGGAAAAAUAUUCUAAUGCUCAUUGUUGAACCAAAAUAUAUAUUGUCUCUUUUUAUGAUUUCUUGUACUUUUUAAUAAUAAAAUUUUAAUUUAAAUAAAUGAUAUUUUAAGAAAUUUUUGUAAACAUAAAAUAGUUGGGAUUAAUUGGUAAAUUUUUAUUAGUGGGAGAUAUUAUUAACAAUUCUUAAUUAAAUAAAAAUAGAAUUAUUUUAGAAUAAAAAAUGGAGUAAUGCAUUUGAGUAAAACUCAAUUCUAUUUUAGUGUUGUACCAUUUUAGAGUUAAAAAUUGAGUAACGCUCUGAUUCUUUUUUUUUUGUUAUGAAAGCGUUAAAAACUGUUAAGUGGCUUCAUUGGGAUCUUCGCUUCUAGACAGUAUAUAAAAUUAAUCGAUUUUCCUAUUGAUAGUGGAUGAGCAUUCGGCUAAUUGGUAGAAUCGAAAAUAGAAGCUUUAAAAUUGAUAAAUUGGUUGCUUGAAUCAUAAAGUUCGUCGUUGAAGUAGACAGAUAUAAUCUAGUAUAUAUGGCCUCAAAAUUAUCACUCCAAUUCACACAUGAAAUUUAGACAGAUAUCCCCUGUAUAUUAUUUGAGAAACAUUACAACUUCUUUUUGUAGCCACAUGUUAUCUAUAAGAUGAUUCUUAGAAUCAUUAGAGAAAUAUGUUGGUCCAUCUAAUUAUAUAAUAAGUUUUUUAUUAAACUAAUAAUAAAUUCAUCAUUAAUAUACUUUAUUAUUUCCUUAAAUAAAAUUUACGGAAUUACCUAAUGUGGCUAAAGUAUAUAUGGCAAUUAAUGAUUUUGAAUAAUAAAAAUUUGAUAAAAAAAUAGUGUAUCUUCUAUCAUAUUUGUUUAAUUUUAAACUAUUAAAUAAAUUAAACAACCACAAUAACCAUAUAAUAAAAAUUUAGAUUUUUUAUAUGAGUAGAAAUCAUCAUUUAAUAGACAUUAAUAUUAAAAAUAUACUAAAAUAUAUUAUCUAUGUUAGUAUCAUUUAAAUUUAAUUACAUAUUCUAUCAAAUAUAAAAAAAAUAUUUGAUAGCUACUGAACUUUAAUUAUUUAAUAUAUAUUAAUUAUUUCAUGUAAAAAUAUUUAAUAUAUAAAAUAAUUUAUAUAUAUAAUAUUGAUCCAAGGCGCGGAUCGUAACCUAAUUAUCUAGUAUAUACGUAACGUUCACACAUACGAUGUUUUGGGAAUGAUCCCAAAAACACAUUUAUAUGACCUUUGGCACUUGGGCCUAAAAUGAACAUCAUACAGAUAUAUAGAAUUGUAUGAACUUGUAAAACCCAACAAUUGAUAUCACAACCAAAAUGACAACAAUCUACAAGAUGACUAAAAAGAUUUUUAAUAUCUAUGAUCCUAGAUUCGAUGAAAAACGUGGUUAUUACAUAAAUACUAUACAAUGUGAAUUAUUUACAUAAAAAUUAUAGCAUUAUCAAGAAUUAUUCACCUAGUCUUCACACCAUCGUAUACUAAUAUUGUAUAGUAUUUAUGUAAUAUCCAAUUCUAAUUAGUAUAAAGUUUUUUGGGAGAACUCCAAAGGCAAAUUCGUGCAUAGUUUAUCAUCUAGGACCAAAAUAGAUAAUAUCAAAUUAAUUAAUAGUAUUGGCAUAAUUUGAAACACCAGUACCUCAGUGUGACGCUCUUGUAUGUAAUGCGUUUGGUUAUAUGAUUAAAAAAAUUCUCCCAAUAAUUUUAAAACAAAAUAUUUUUUGGAUGCAAAUUAAGGCUCCGAAUGGGAAAAGCUGAUCAAGCGUUGCGGAUCUAGCGGAUCAAGUGGAUCGAGCGGAACAAGAGUGGUUCAAGCGGAUCUAGCGUUUCAAGUGCGGAUCUAGCGGAUCUAGCGGUUCUAAACUUAUGUAUGAAUGGUGAAAGUGGAUAAAAAGUGGUUCAAAGUACUGUUUAAAUUUAAAUUAAUUUACAUAAAUUUUAUAAUACUACUUAUUUUCAUUAUUAAAAGGACUUAUUUUUAAAAAUACUUUAUAAAUGAAAAAUACUAAAAGAUAAAAACAUAAUAUAUAUAACGCGUGGAGGAUCAUCGUCACAGAAGAAAGAGCUCCUGUAUUAGUUUUUAAACAUCAAAUCAGACAAACGAAUUUUUCUUUUCUUGGUGAUCUAAGAACGUGGUUGUAAAGGAGAAAGUAAAGAGUUUGAAUUGCCUGGUCAUAGGCUUUGCUCUAAAAGCAAAAGAGAUGCUUCUUCUUCUUCGUCUUCUGGAAUUGAGCUUCUUCUUGACGAUCAAUGUAAGCAAGCAACUCUUCUUGCCUCAUCAGAGCUUCGUAAAGCGCUUUCUUAGUAGCGAUGAGCUCUGCUUCAAGUGCGUCCACUCUGCAUACAGCUGCGUUUAAUAGUUCCUCUUUCUCGUAAGGCAUCUCAUUCGGCUUUGUUUGUAGAGUUCCGAUUUUUCCUUCUAGCUCGGUUAGUUUCUUCAUCACAGAUGUUAGGAGCUCUGUUUCUGUGAGAUCUGGUACAGGAGAAGGAGGGCGAGACUCCUCUUUAGUUGUUGCUGCUACUUCACCGAGAAGUUCUGUUGCGUUUCCUUCGGUUUGUGGUUGGGAAGCAGGAAGUUUCUUGAUCACAAGGAAAGGUACUGCUCGGAAGAAUGUGAAAACCGCCAUCACGUAUGUUAUGAUCAUUACGGG